CCCCUGUCCAGGGGAUCUCUUUCUGCUUCUGUCUCCUCUCUGUAGUCACAGAGCAGCUAAGAAGGGAUCUUGCUACUGCUCCUCUAUCUGGGUGGAAGUGAGAUGCGUUUCCUGCCAACUCCUGCUCCAGAAUUCUUGCCAUAAUGCAGCAGUUUUAACUUUUACAUGAAGUUGGUUUCCAGACAUCUAUGCUGGUGAGAAAUGCUUGACAACGUGAAAGCCUCAGUGUUGACCCAGACCCAACUCUGAGAAGCCUGGUUGAUUGUCAUACAGCUUUGUCCAUGUUGACAGGGGGGACUGUGGAGACACCACCACUGCUGCCCUUGCUCCAGCCAUUCUGGGACAUCCAUGGAAACCCAUCUGGAUUACACUUGCACCUUUGUAGCAAAACCCAGAAGACAGGACCACUGCCAUGAGGAAGACUAAGAGAAGUGUGCCAUGGGGAAAAAAAGGUUUUGUGGGGAGGAUGAAGAGGAGAGCUUUUCAUGAGCUAUCAAAGAGGAAAAUACCAAGAGUGGUGUGGCUGCCCAUGAAGGUGCUGCCUCUGCCCACCACAGCUCACAGGGCAUAUGAGGACCCCUGGGUCAGUGCUGGCUGCAGGCUGAGGGGGGAUCAGUGCACGCCUCCUGGCAAGGGUGGAGCUAGGGGCCUGCGCACGUAAAGGUUUCUCCUUACAGUCACAGUGCCCCUGUGAACCUAGGAAGGAGAUGGUCUAAACCUCUCUGUAGCAAAAAGUGCACUCUGCAACCUUGAGCACCAAGGUUCUGUGCUGCAGCACCUUGAGUUCCUUCAUCAGAGCAGACUCACAUCAAUCACCCUAACACCAGCUCACCUCCCAGAGCCUGGGAGGUGCUGCUUAGGCUGCUGAAUGCAGAUAACGCAAAGGGUAUUUAUGUCACCACAGAAGGAUUACACUUCAUGAGAUGUCUUCUGCACCAGAAUUAUCUGAGCCUUGCACUGUGAAGCAGAGAUCUCAGUCUUGUAAACUUUAUAGGCAUAGCCACUGCCAUACCAAACAUUGUCCCUGCUGUUUCCUGUGUGAUCCAGGUAAUCUGUUAGGGAGCAGAAGCCAUGUGAGGGCAUCCUUAAACAUGAACAUCAGGUUCCCCAAAGACAAGAAACAAAACAUUCACUGUGACAUAUUAAAAUAAACCAA